AAUAGAUACCCGGGUAGUCCUUGCCGUAAACGAUGUAUACUUGGUGUAACUGGACUCAACCCCGGUUGUGCCGUAGCUAACGCGUUAAGUAUACCGCCUGGGGAGUACGCACGCAAGUGUGAAACUCAAAAGAAUUGACGGGGACCCGCACAAGCAGUGGAGCAUGUGGUUUAAUUCGAUGCAACGCGAAGAACCUUACCCAGACUUGACAUACAGUAGACCGCCUCAGAAAUGAGGCUUUCCUUCGGGACUGCUGAACAGGUGCUGCAUGGCUGUCGUCAGCUCGUGCCGUGAGGUGUUGGGUUAAGUCCCGCAACGAGCGCAACCCUUAUCAUUAGUUGCCAACAGCUCGGCUGGGAACUCUAGUGAGACUGCCCGGGUUAACCGGGAGGAAGGUGAGGAUGACGUCAAGUCCGCAUGGCCCUUAUGUCUGGGGCUACACACGUGCUACAAUGGGCGGUACAGAAAGCAGCGAAGCCGCGAGGUGAAGCAAAUCUCCAAAGCCGCCCCAGUUCAGAUUGUAGUCUGCAAC
rnacentral:rRNA from 1 species